CCAAAGGCUCUUUUCAGAGCCACCCCCAUUUUCCUAGAAAGGGCGG
rfam:Patagioenas fasciata monilis isolate BTP2013 Sc31e1R_53, whole genome shotgun sequence.